GAUGAACGCUGGCGGCGUGCCUAAUACAUGCAAGUCGAGCGAAUGGAUUAAGAGCUUGCUCUUAUGAAGUUAGCGGCGGACGGGUGAGUAACACGUGGGUAACCUGCCCAUAAGACUGGGAUAACUCCGGGAAACCGGGGCUAAUACCGGAUAACAUUUUGAACCGCAUGGUUCGAAAUUGAAAGGCGGCUUCGGCGGUCACUUAUGGAUGGACCCGCGUCGCAUUAGCUAGUUGGUGAGGUAACGGCUCACCAAGGCAACGAUGCGUAGCCGACCUGAGAGUGUGAUCGGCCACACUGGGACUGAGACACGGCCCAGGCUCCUACGGGAGGCAGCAGUAGGGAAUCUUCCGCAAUGGACGAAAGUCUGACGGAGCAACGCCGCGUGAGUGAUGAAGGCUUUCGGGUCGUAAAUCUCUGUUGUUAGGGAAGAACAAGUGCUAGUUGAAUAAGCUGGCACCUUGACGGUACCUAACCAGAAAGCCACGGCUAACUACGUGCCAGCAGCCGCCGUAA
rnacentral:rRNA from 1 species